rnacentral:rRNA from 1 species
GACGAACGCUGGCGGCGUGCUUAACACAUGCAAGUCGAGCGGUAAGGCCCUUUCGGGGGUACGACGAGCGGCGAACGGGUGAGUAACACGUGGGUGACCUGCCUUUAGCUCUGGGAUAAGCCUGGGAAACUGGGUCUAAUACCGGAUACGACUCCGCGGUGCAUGCUGUGGGGUGGAAAGCCUUGUGCGGCUGGAGAUGGGCCCGCGGCCGUAUCAGCUUGUUGGUGGGGUGAUGGCCUACCAAGGCGACGACGGGUAGCCGGCCUGAGAGGGCGACCGGCCACACUGGGACUGAGACACGGCCCAGACUCCUACGGGAGGCAGCAGUGGGGAAGUCUUGCGCAAUGGGCGAAAGCCUGACGCAGCGACGCCGCGUGAGGGAUGACGGCC